GAUGAACGCUGGCGGCGUGCCUAAUACAUGCAAGUCGAGCGAACGGACGAGAAGCUUUCUUCUCUUAUGUUAGCGGCGGACGGGUGAUUAAAACGUGGAUAACCUACCUAUAAGACUGGGAUAACUUCGGGAAACCUGAUCUAAUACCGGAUAAUAUUUUGAACCGCAUGGUUCAAAAGUGCAAGACGUUCUUGCUGUCACUUAUAGAUGGAUCCGCGCUGCAUUAGCUAGUUGGUAAGGUAACGGCUUACCAAGGCGACGAUGCAUAGCCGACCUGAGAGGGUGAUCGGCCACACUGGAACUGAGACACGGUCCAGACUCCUACGGGAGGCAGCAGUAGGGAAUCUUCCGCAAUGGGCGAAAGCCUGACGGAGCAACGCCGCGUGAGUGAUGAAGGUCUUCGGAUCGUAAAACUCUGUUAUUAGGGAAGAACAUAUGUGUAAGUAACUCUGCACGUCUUGACGGUACCUAAUCAGAAAGCCACGGCUAACUACGUG
rnacentral:rRNA from 1 species